ensembl:snRNA U6 U6 spliceosomal RNA
GUACUCACUUCAGCAGCACAUAUAUUAAAGUUGGUGCCAUACAGAGAUUAGCAUGGCCCCUGUGCAGGGAUGACAUGAAAAUUCAUGAAGGGUUCCAUAUUUUC